AAUAGCAAAACACGCCAAAAAAGUGGAAAUGGUGACGAUUUAAUUAUUUGAAGUUGCGAGCAGUUACCUCGACCAGUAUCCAGCAGAAGCAGCGGCGGCAGUAUUCACCAAUCCAGUUUUAUGGUGGUACAAAAAGUUGAUGUGAACUGAAGAUUCACUAAGCUACACAGCCAUAUCGAGAGAACGAAGGACGUUCAGCAGCAAUCGAGGAGCAUCAGAAAUCAUUUUAUGCCAAACAUGUUUGGCAAACAAUAAUAAGCGAAUCGCACAUUACUGUCAAAGAAGUGAAUAGCAAUUGACUGGAAGAAACACACUCACCCAAUUUGCACCCAAUAAUCAAACACUUCUGCUGCUGCUGAGGAUGGUGGAUAUCCAUAAAGGUCAAUUUUACAGUGGUAAAACUUGUAAUGGCAUUGAUUUCAGCGGAUGAUGAUUAAUCCCCGAGAGAUAUCAUCGAUAUUGAACAAGGAUUUGCGAUUGAGAUUAAUAUGAGCAUUUAUCAUCAUCUAAACACAUAUGCAAGCGCUACAGGACUUUGUUAUUGCAAAUGCCGUCAAAAUUCUUUCGCUCGAGUGAGUGUGUCGCUGAGAUGUAAAAGAAGACAAAUAAUAAUCUCUCGACUUUCCGCUAAGCUCAAGACACAAGAAGGUCAACUGUCAUCCCAUGAGCCAGCAAUCCUUCUUCGUCUUCCUGAACUUUAUUACUUCUGCCACUUCUGCAAUCUUCAUCUGGACAUUUAGCAGAGAACUCGCUACUUAAUCGCUAAAUACAAAAAUUUAAAUUAUUUGUGGCAAUAAACAAACACCAAAUGAAUAAAAGUGAGAAGAUGAGA